UACGAAGGGUGCGAGCGUUAAUCAGAAUUACUGGGCGUAAAGAGUGCGUAGGCGGACGUAUAAGUUAGAUGUGAAAUCCCCGAGCUUAACUUGGGAAUUGCAUUUAAGACUGUAUAUCUAGAGUCUGUAAGAGGGGGGUAGAAUUCCGAGUGUAGCAGUGAAAUGCGUAGAGAUUCGGAGGAAUACCGGUGGCGAAGGCGACCCCCUGGUAUAAGACUGACGCUGAGGCACGAAAGCGUGGGUAGCAAACAGG
rnacentral:rRNA from 1 species